CAAAAAUAUUAAAAUAAGGCCUGACUUCACAACAAAAUAAAUACAUUUUUUAAUUGAUAGGUUUUAUAUGUGUUUAAAUUCCAUGCUCCUCUCCUCUAUGACAACACUGAAAUGGUUAAAACAUUAAAACCUUUGAGUUCCAGGGCAGUUUUGAUAUUGUUCCUCAUAUGAGGCCAGGCAAAUUUUGAAGUGCAUUAAACAAGAAAUAAAUUAAAGACGUGCUCACACUGUGCUGCCCUCAAAUGCAAGACACCAGGGAAAUAAAGUGGGACAGCGGAACAGGACCCUGAAAUCAGGAUUGUCCUGCCGAAAGCAACACUGGGUUGCUUUCUGAUCGAAUCAUAUAUGAUGUAUGCCUCUCACCACAAUAGCUGGCCACUGAGAGCUGUACAUGGACUUAAGUUGGUCAGCCAAGCUUGACAAAGACCGAAUAGUUCGAAACUUUGUGAGUGGAGUGGGUACAAUAAAUUUGCCUUUUUGUACCUUGGAGUGCCUGGACCUUUCUUCUAUCUGCUAUUAGUACUUGGUCCAUGGUACUGGGACUGGCCUGGCUGCACCCAGCUACAUAACACUUGGGAAAGAGUGCAGUUCCACACUUCUACUAUAACUACUUCAGUAAAGUAAGAUUGUCAUAAUUUAUGCCAGAAAUUUAAUAAGUAGAAAUUAUCACAUCUACAUGGCUUCUAAAUAGCCAACAAAAAAAAUAAAUAUGGUAGUGCUGGAACCUCAUUCACGCUUAUAGCACUUGCAUAACAUGGCUUAACAGUCUAAAAGACAUUACUAAGGCCUCAGCAUCAACAAAUACAUGUAAUUAAGG